CAACUUUUAACAACGGAUCUCUUGGUUCUCGCAUCGAUGAAGAACGUAGCAAAGUGCGAUAACUAGUGUGAAUUGCAUAUUCAGUGAAUCAUCGAGUCUUUGAACGCAACUUGCGCUCUUUGGUAUUCCAAGGAGCACGCCUGUUUCAGUAUCAAAA
rnacentral:rRNA from 1 species